UAUCUAGAUCUACUCUAGUUUAGGGAUGAGAUGAGAGCUCUCAUCUCCAAACCCUAGCUUUUGCUCUGUCUAUGAAUAAUGAAUAAGGAUGAAGGGGUUGUCUCCUCCAGGGGCCACGGGGCCUGCUUAUAUAGCCCUUCCAAAUGAAUGUGGGCGGUCGGAUCAAACCGACCUUAAUCGCACGGUUUUCCUUGAUCCUUUAGGUCGGUGGAGCAUAAUCCGCGAGGCGAAACGUGAUUGGCUCCUGUAGCAGGGCGGGCACGCAUGGGGGGAGGGCGGGCGCCCUACCCCCGGGCCCGAUUGGCUUCUCGUUCGUUCCCAUGGCUUCUGGAGUCUUCUAGAUGAUGGAAAAUUGCACGGCACGUUAAUAUCUCUAUGUAAACCUGAAGUGUGGGCCUUUCCUCCAUAUUUCCUGAUAACCCCUUGUAGAAAUAGACAAACACCAAAACUCGUGGAAUUCUGUCAGAUAAAACCCUAAGUCUGGGUGUUGGUUGCAUCUGGAUCCUUUUCUUUGUUUAUUUGAUAAUUAAAUUUGGUACUUAAGGACCGUCAACAACUCCCCCAAGCUUACCUCUUGCUCAUCCCUGAGCAAGGAUGGACUCAAGAGUUUCUGCAGUGGUUUCAAGCCUUAAAUGUACACAAGCGUUCAAACAAGAUCUCAUCUCUAGGUUAGGGUAAGCUCUUAAGAUUUAAAACUUACUCAUUUUACCUUCCACCAUGGGGCUUGCAACCGUCACUUGUGUCUUGAGCAGUUAAAAGAUAAAACGGUCAAGUCAAGCGUCAUGUCUCUUGUUCUUGAUCAACUAUAGCUCUGGAGUUUUUGCAGAUUUUCAAAUAAAACUCAGAGAUUCCUUGUAUGACUCUCUCAAUUCUCUCUUUUGUGGUAUUUCUAGAUCCUUACCAAGGCAGUGAUGGUAUAUGCCUUCUCUCAAAGCAUGUGGUAUUUUUGGUAUGAGGCAUAGUGACAUUACGUUCUCUCUCACCCUACUCUAAUAAGGUUUUGAUAUCUGGAGCUCAUAGGUGGGAGACAGCUAAUACAUACUUACAAGACAUUUAUUGCAUAGUCAAACCAUGGAUCUAGAGAAACAAGUCAAUAAGUCAAAUCAAGAUGUGCAUGUGUGGCGAAUGAAUGGUGUAUGGUGAUGAUGGUGAUAAUGGUGAAAACGAUGGUGAAAGUCUAAUUCUACUUUUGCUCUUUUGAGGGGAUACAUACCUUUCUUGCACUUUCAAGCUUUUUGAGGGGGAAUGAGAUGCUCUAUAUUUUAUUUUUCUUUUCUCUUAGGUGGGUAUCUUGUACCCCUAAUUCUACUGUCGGACACUUGUGUAUUUUUACCUCUCGUCUCACUUUUUCUUUUCUUCGAGGUUCUGGGCACUUGCCCCUUUUUAUUUCCUCGUAUUUUUUUUCUUUUUUUCUUUUUUUAAAGCACUCACCUUCCUGGAAUAAUAUAGCAAGUGGUAGUAACCAAAAUAUCUCGAGCAUUUAUUUCACAGGGAAAAACAGGAAUGGGAUAAUGUUUUUGGCUAUUCUCUCCCGGAUAGGAGUAGAAUAAUUUUGGGUGAAUCUGAAGAUGGAAAUGAGUGGAUGUAUGUGGAUGCGUACUUCCGGAGUAGAAGCAGCAUGUAUGAGUGAACGUGCAAGUGAAUCAUGAUUUUAACCGCAUGACAAGCUCCUAAGGGUCUACACAGCUUGACCACACUCAAUGCUCAUAAGCAGUAAAAGUAAUGUAUGGUUCAUAGUCUAAUAAGCAUAUAUAUAUGACUGUGGUAGGAUUUUAAACUCUCAUCAUACAGGAACUUAUCAUGCAACAUUUUAAAGAUUUUCAAAGAUAAAAUUCUCUAGAAUUCUAGCAUCUCUAGGAACAGAUAAACAGCAGCUCAACCUUCUCAUAUCAUAUCCGUUAACGACUUAGACUUUUGAUCAGGUAUGCAAGCUUUAAAUUAUAACAGUUAUGCCUAAACUUGAGAGAGAGCUCAAAUUUAAAAACUAGGUACUUGGCAGAGCAACUAUUCAUCAUAUCCAUGUAAGAGUUUAUCAUUGGAGGUCAAUUUGGCAUAGACAUUUUAUUUAUUUAUUUAGCAAACUAAGCAAAGAUAUAAGCACCAAAUCUUUAUUUGGGUUUUUAUGAUUAUGCAUCAUUUUAUUGUUUGAGUAAAGUAUAAAUGCGAAUAUAAACACUUAGCUAGAUAAAUGGGGGUGCUCUCCCCCAAGCUGGAUUUUGACGUAAUUUCUUCUGAUGUAUCUAGCAGGUGGCAGAGGUGUAUUUGAAUGUCGGCAGCACCCUAACGGCGAUUAGGAUGUCCUCCGUCUGCUAGUCUUCUUUGAUCCUUGAAUUCUGUGGAGCUCAAAUAGACAACAAAGCUUUGUGGAACUAGUUAAGUGUUAGCAUAAAUAUCUAGCCUUUAUCAUGUUGAGCUUCCUCUAAUAAAUUUUACUCUCUUUGGUAGGAUCAUAAUCUUAUUUUUAUAUUUUCAUUUUUAUAAGACAGGAAUAUUUUUAUUUUUACGCCACCAUAGUGAAUGUACUUAUUUUGAAUAUGCUUACUAUUUUUAAUUUCUUUUCAAGAUAGCAUGAUUUAACUAACAAGCUAUUUAAGGAAAGUCAAUAAUUUGAGAGAAAAGGGAAUGCAGAAAGGAUAAAUAUGGAUAACUACCGAUUUUACCUUUCGGCGAGGGUUCAUUCUUUAGGUGCGUCAUUUGAUUCAGGUGUGGACCUUGAUGUCUGCACCUCUUGAUACGGUGUCACCCAUGUUCUUUGUUUGCCCAGCAAUUCGAAGUGCGGCGUUGGCAGUAUCUUGCACAGUGUGUUUGUGCUCGUAGAUCCACGUCCUUCACUUGGUAGAGUCUAGGAGUUGAAAAAUCCUCCAUGUUUCUCACAAUGUGUCCUCCUCAUAGAGACAAGGCAGAGAUCAAGUGCAUGGGUCCUGUUGGUGGAAAACACCAACAGAACCAAAAGUGUAUUUGUUCUUCUCUAACCUUAAGCAUAGUGACCAAGACAAAGUUGAUGGAUAAUAAGAUCAUGAGUGUAGCAUUUAAAACAUUUGUCAGAUCAGAUCACUCAACCUAAUGGAAAGAUAAUCUAUCUAUGUAUAUGUCUUUUUCUUUAUAUCUUCCCAAAGAUUGAAUGUGCAACAUUUUAGCCCAUAUGAUUGGGGGUGUGGGAUCAUGGAGGUAGUACUAGGAAUAAAGAUUAAAGGAUUAAACAUGCUAAAUCAGUUGGGUUGGUUAAUUUAGAGUUAUAAAUCAUACAUGUUUGUCUCUUUAUUUAUGUGAACGCCAGAACCAGGAAGAAGCUUAUAAAAGUGAUAGUCACAUAUCUUAAGAUGUUAUCUUAAUUGAAGAGUGAUGGUAUCAUCUCACCUUGUGGAAGCUUCCCAUUCGUAGUGGCUGUGUAUCUUGUUUAUGUACUUUGUCUCCUUCCAUGGAUCAUCUCUCUAUGAUGAAUGAGCUAUGUCCUUCUUGUGCAAAUUGUUAAACUUCAUGUGUCUCUCUCUUCAUCUCCGAUGUGAGUUUAUCUCAGGACUUCCAAAUUGAUAUUGGAAGUUUUUCUGCAGGGGUUAGUCCGACAAAAUAUACCAAGCAGUUUUCAGUUCAAUAACCGAACUAGACUCCAUGUCUAAUCAGAUUAAGGAAGGCUGUUUAACCUAAGCACCAUGCUUAAUUUAAAAGUCAGUAGAAGUAUGUGCAGUACUUCCAAACUAACACUUACUAGGAUAAACAAAGGUAGUGUGAUGGCUUUUAUAGAGAUCUACUCAAGUGGAGAUGAAGUAGUGUGAUUAGUAUUUAAUCAAUUGAGCAUGUCUUAAAGGUAGGGACAACCAACAUAGCAACAUGGAAAAGGAUGUUUUUAUGUAAGGUACUCCCCUAAGCUUGAAUUUUGCAAAAUUUAAGUUUGGAUGACUUUAAUUCAGUGUUGCAUGAUGAUUGGCUGGACAUACCUUGUGCUUGUUGUUCAUCCGAUCUUCUUGCUCUAAUCCAGGAAAGUUAGUGACAAGAAUACCCGAAGGAAUAUUUUUACAAUUAUCCUUAUAUGCUCAAUACACAAGGCAAUGUUGCAAAUAAUUAAAAGCUCAUGUUACGAUCUGAUCAGUGCUUAUUUUAGGACACUAAGCUUGUCCUUGGGAAACCAUCAUUUUAUGUUAGCGAAGUGGUUUCCCCUCCAACGCCAACCUUUGUAUAUCAAGAUUAGCUCAACAAGAUCUGCAAUAUUUAUUAUAGACAUAUGCAUCGACAACCGCUCUUUUAAAGUUUUUGUAAAUACAAAGGAAGAGGGGGUUGGAGAUCUCAAAUGUGGUGAUGUUGGAGAGACCAAUAGAUUUGGAAGAUGUUUCAUAUGAGCAUGGAGUAAACGAAGUGGGUAUGAAAUAAAUUCCAUGCUCAUUAAUGUUAUCUUCGUCUCUAAUCUGAAUGUUCAAAGUUUCUCUUGGAUUGGUCCCGUCUAUGUCCUCUUCUAUAGAAGGGUGAAUUAAACAUAUUAAACACAUGUUGAACCCACGCCUCUCCCCUUGGCUACGUCACCCGAAAUUCCCACAUCGAGCCACGUCUCCCCGAAUAGAUUCGCUUUGCCAGUAUUCAGCCACGUCGCUCAGAAUUCCCUUCCCGUGGACACGGUUGAGCCACGUCGCUCCCAGAUUGUAUCCAAUAAAUUGGUGCCUCCUCCCUCUCACAAAAAAAUCUCUCCCACGCCCGACCUCUCCCUCUCCUCUCACACACCGCCGCCGCCACCGCUCGCGCCGUCAUUGUUGCCCAGCCCGCGCCUCCCGUUCCCGUUCCCCUUCCUCUGCCUCUCUACCUCUCCCUUGAUGUGGUGGCGCAAUAGCAAGCCCUAGUGGUGGCCGCCCCCAGGCCGCACGGCCACAUGACGCGGCGCCGGUGGACAACACCGGUGGCCGUGAUUGUCGCCCGCCCAGCUUCUCGCCUGCACGGAUUCCUGCACGCCGUACGCGGGCUCCUGCUCGAUCCGUCCGCUGGUUUGCUCCCUCUCUCUCUCUCUCUCUCUCUCUCUCUCUUCCCCCCUUACCGCACUAAGUCUGCAGUCGCAUUACUUUGUGAUUUGGUGAAAUCCAACAUGCCAAGGUCAAUUUGAGCCUAGAUCUACUAUUCUUACCCUUUUUUGUUACAAAUCUACUACCUUACUUUAGUUUUUUUUUGCAUCACCCGUGCUGAUAAAAAAUUAUAUAGUUCAUAUGACUCUGUGCUGAUAAAAAGCUUCCUAUUGAGAAUCUGAUGUUGUUUAGAUUAAUGGUAAUUGGGUUAAGGAACCUGCUCUGUUAUUUCACCUAUACAUGCUUGGAUGAUUCCACUUUACUAUGAUCGAUGACUGUAUACUGAGUUCAUGGAACUAGUGCCCUCCAAAAUGUCCUCCUAGAGAGUAUCUUGAUGUUGUAUGGUUUGUAGAUGCAAUCCUGUGUGCUUAAUACAUGGCAUUUACAGACUGUAGUUGCAUUUACUGAAUGUAUGUCAGCUUAUGAGCCACUAUUACUACUUUUUAGGUGACUGUGAGCAAGGGUCUUUAGUUGCAGCUUGUUGGGUUUCCAACAUAUUCAACGGCAGCACCUUGCUAACGCAAGUUGUCUUUAUCUUGUCUAUGACCGCUUACUUAAAAUGCAAACCUACACGGCCAAACUUAUCUGAGAAUUCAAUUUCUCAAGCAAAUAAUAGUUUACAAGUUAUCAUUUCUCUUUUUUUUUGCUUUUCUGAGAUCAAAGAGGUGGACCUCAGGUUCAAGGAACAAGAACAUGAACCAUCAGUUGUAGAAUUAAAUUUCUACUAUACAAACAUGUUAUGGAUCGGAUUUUGUCAAUAUUACUAUUAUUUGUUUCGUCAGAUGGAGCUCAGGCUGAAGGAGCAAGAACUAAAGGCAACUCCUGAAUCAUGUGCUAUCUUCAAAUAUACUGUAUAACCGAUUUUGUAACCAAUUUCCUGCCGUUCAUUUUCAAAACAAAAAAUUAUGAUUUCUCAACAGUCUUGUAUUUAUUUUAUAUAUUUUUCCCUUCUUAAACCAUGUUUUUUUUCAACUUUACUUAGAUUAAGGAGCUGAAGCUAAAGUUGAAGGAACGAGAACUCCAACACUUAGUUGUGGAACUAGAGGUAUAUUCUCUAUAAAUGUUGUGCUAUCUACCUUUUAUUCAACUAAAAUAUUGUGCUAACUGCCUUUCAUUCAAGUACAUGUUCCUAGAUAAGGUACUUUUGGAUACAUACAAUGGAAAUGCAUACUUUCUACUACUGUUUUUGAUUAACUGAUUGAUUUAUCCCUUUGUUUAGUUAUUUGGGGACUACAACAAACUCAGGUUCUACCCUCUUAAAACCAGGAUGACAAUGAAGUCUUUGCCUUCGGUGCAGUAAAAAUUCCUCAAAAAAGGUGACAGCUUCUCUCCAUUUAUUGUGAUCCCUGUGAUUUACAUAAUUCUUUUUGGGUUGUUUGAUCUAAAUGCCUCCUCAUUUUGUGCUUGAUGCCAUUGGAAUAAUGUUUUCCACCUGAUUGUUCUAAAUGUGGCUAUCUAAUGUUGCGUUUUUCCUCCUGCUUAUGUAGGUUAUUAUGGCUACACUGAAGGGCUUAUUUCUCUUUUUGUGAAGUGUGGCAUAUCUGGUAUGCUGUACAAAUCCCACCUCGUUCUUUUCUGUUAGCUACCUGCCUUCUGCAUAGUUAAGAUGGUGACUAGAAUAGUAAAAACAAACCAGUGCAGGACCAAAAAAAUGGUCUUGAGAUUGUUUGACAAGGUGCUAUCCAUACUGUUUGUCAUAUUCAGUAUAGUGGAGUUGCUUUCUUCGGUGCAGAUGCAACAUCUUGUGUUAAAGUGUUAUUGGUCCCUCCAUUUGCUAAGUAUUGAGUAUUUUAUUAGAGGUGCUAGGUGUUAAGUGUUAGGCGUAUACAGGUGUUGGCCUUCAAAAAAUAAGAUCUUCCUCAUUUUUAGAUGGCUAAAAAUAGAGGUAUUGCGAAAGGGCUUCUAGCCUAGUGGUUAGAGCACCUAAGUAGCACCAGCAGACCUGGGUUCGACUCCCUGUGGGAGCGAAUUUAAACAGGUCUGUAUUAUAAAAAAAUAAAAAAAAUAGGCUGGGAUUUCUCUUGCUGACUUCGGUCAAAAAAAUAAAGAUAUUUAUGUUGCAAGAUGUAUCUUUGUAUAUUUCUAAUUUUCCCUUCUAUUAUCUCGGAUUCAAUUAUUUUCCACAACACAUUUACUUCUUGUGUCUAUGUAUGCUUCCUUUUAUGACUAUAACUUAUCUGGUGCUAAUUCAAAGAUUCCUAUUCAUAGGUGUUUGAAAAAGUCUUUUCUCCUUAUUUUAGCUCCAUAAAUAUUAUCUAAUGGCAACCAUAUUUAUUCUUUUAUCACAAUUUAGAGAUUUCGUAGCAUAUUCACUAUUUUAUUAGUCGAGGAUUAGAAGUAAUGAACCAUAUCAAUUCACAAAAAGAGAUAAGACGGUGUGCAUCCAUAAAUUAAUAUUUGUAAGCACGCAGAGGCAAGCUAUUUGUACACAUAAUUCUAUUUGCUUUUUUCACACGAUACUAUUUUUUCCACAGCAUGCUGUAACAUUUAAGUCAGCAAAAGUGUUGAUAAAAUUUUCAAGAACUUUCUCUAGAGUUAAUUUGACUGAGUCUAUCUUAGCGACAGUUAGGUUAUGAUAAAAAUGAUAUGUUUUUUAUGAUUGCCUUUUAUGUGAUGCUAGCAAACUUAAUUCAGGCAAAUCAGUAUGCAUCUAUUGCUAGGGUGCAUGUGUGAUAAUUAAUACUAGAAUGGUUCUUGUGCUCCGAUCCUAUACCCCUGGAGGUAAUGGUCCUCCCAUUAAUUUGUGAUAAUUCAUAAAUCAGUUCUCUCCUAUUGCAAUAAACCUUUUUCCAGUUAUAAAAUGAUGAUAGGCUUCAAAUCAUGAAUUCUUUUACUUUAUGCAAACAGAAGAACACAAACCUAUGGAACUUAUCAAUAUGAAUUUGUUCAUGCACAAUUAGUCCAGUUGACCGGUACACAAUUUGACUAGUAGCGGCUUCUUUUUAGUUAUUCUCUGUAUAUUCGGUUCGUUCCUUGGAUUAGGAUACAGAGCAUUGAUAAGGUUUUGUUUGCCUUUUCAGGCCGAGCACUAUAUUAUUUGCAGAUCUUUUUACAGAGUUAAGAUAAAGGUACUAAUUUUCAGUUUACCAUCCUUUCAGUUUUCUUUGCCUAAGUGAACCAAGCUGUACACAUUAGUAUAAAUCUGUAUGCUACUUUUUUAGAUAUGCUACAUAAGCUGUACACGUGAGUGUAAAUCUCUAUGUUACUAUGUAGACUACUAAAAAAAAUUCUACAGUGUGAUUAUAAUAUUUCUCUCUACCUAAUGGAGUGAUUAUUGAGCAAAACUUGAAUAUGGCUCCUAUUGAAAUUUUUUCUAUAGGGAUAUUUUACGAGACAUAUUUGACAACCAAUAUAUGAAGUGUAAUGAAAACAGAAAGGACAAACUGUAAUAGAAAUUGAAGACAAAUAGUAUUUUAAGAGUAGCCAUUGUUGUUUCAUUUUGUAUGGCUUCCUAACAGACUACGUAGUGGAAAUUGAAAACAAACAGGAUCUUAGGAGUAGCCACUGAUGUUCCAUUUUUUAAAGGUUCCUUCCCUAAUCUUGUCGGUACUAUUGAGUGCUUGAGAGUUCAAUGGUGGUUGUUGUGCUGCCAUUACCAUGCUUAGAAGAUUAGAUAGAGCACUGAAAUUUGGAGAGUCAUGGUACUCUUUUAGGAUUACAGUUUUUUUAUAGUUUUCUUUUAAGUCUCUGUUUUCUUUAGUGAGCCUCAUCUCCACUUUCUCAUAUCUCCAGACAUUGCACACAUUGUUUUCUCGCCUCUCCAGAUACUGCAGUCUCUAUUACCAUACGUGCGAUAUUAAUGCGUACAACCUAUCUUAGUAUUCAUACAAAACUUUGCUACGAUAAAAAAGACUCCACCCUCUGUGUUAUUAAUUGGGAAGGUAAGACUUCAGGCAAUAAUAUUGAACUGGUGCCUUCUGAGACAUUAUAGGGUGUAUACUUCAUUCUCUUCAACUGUAGAGGUCUCUACUGAACAAUACUUAGUUCAUUCUUGUUUUUAAACUGUCAUAUUCAUUUCAGUAUAAUAGUUAUGUACUGCCUGAUUCUUCUUAUUGCAUAUUGUCAUAAUUUCACUUUGUCAAUUUGUGUAGAAAAGCAAAUCUGUUUUGAAACUUAAUUCGAAUGAAUUUUUUCCUAGCCUUUCAGUAUAAUGGCUAAUUCUAACAAUCAUAUAGAUAUAAUGAAGAUUGAAGACCACUAUAGUAGAGAGAGAACCACAAUUGUGACAGUCGCAGAUAAACUUCCGCAGACUUGCACAGCCGAAAACACAGAAGAAAUGAGGUGAUGAAAACUCGGAUGUUAAGUCAACUUCUAUGGUGUCAUCCAGUUCGUCACUGACGCGACUUCGUCUACCCAUUUUGAUCUAGAUAUUUGAGAGGUUUCCGCUGAUCUGGAUGUUCGUCUUUGCUAAUUCUGCGCUAGGCUAUGUAUUGUACCUACUCAAUGUAUAGCUUGUUUUAGACUCAUGUCGAUUGGAACUCUACUGAACUAAAAUAUAUAUUGAAUUGAUGUGCACGAUCAGAACAAAUUAAUACGUAUUGCUUAGAUAUUAAAUUUUCAGUAGACACAAAUAAUAUCCUCAAUUUACACAGAAGUUUAUAGCCUGAUACAAAUUUUAUGUAUAUCUACUUAUAUAUUGGGGUGGCUCUAUGUGGCGCGUACUCUAAUUAUAUACAUUAGCAAUAUAUCUAACGUGUAAAUCCUAGCUGUACAAACCUAAAGAUGUCCGAUUUGCGCGCGGUUUAUACUAGGGUGUGGACCUUGACGUCUGCACCUCUUGAACAAGACUUCUUACCAUAUUCAUUCUUUAGGUGCGUCAUUUGAUUCAGGUG
rnacentral:lncRNA from 1 species